ensembl:snoRNA small nucleolar RNA, H/ACA box 51
UGUCUCCCCAUGCUUACCACAGGCAGCUCGCUUGCAAACGCUGUCUGUACAGAAGUGGGAGAUAGAGAAACAGCGGCCCUGCGUGCACCUCAGCCAGGCUGUCUUCCCCUGGACUGUAUUGUUGGCAGGGCCACAAAA